rnacentral:rRNA from 1 species
UACGUAGGGAGCAAGCGUUGUCCGGAUUUAUUGGGCGUAAAGAGCUCGUAGGCGGUUCCGUAAGUCGCGAAGUCAAAUCUCUGGGCUCAACCCCGGACCUGCAUCCGAUACUGGCGGGCUGGAGGCAGGUAGGGGAGAACGGAAUUCCUGGUGUAGCGGUGAAAUGCGUAGAUAUCUGGAGGAACACCGGUGGCGAAGGCGACAUCCUGGACCGGGUAUUGACGCUGAGGCGCGAAAGCCAGGGGAGCAAACGGG